UCUGAAUGGGCCGCCCCUGAGGGAAACAUGCACAGUCCUCUUGGGCCAUAGUGAAGGCUUUCCAGUAUUUUCUUCUCUGCCUGCCCAGAGGAAAUGAGACGGUUCGAGGACAGGCCAGUGUCCCCGGGAGGAAGCUUUCCAGAUGUGAGGCUGGACCCAUACCCCAUCCACACCCAGGGAGGACGGACUCACCACUCAGGGGGGAUGUGCUGUUCUCCAGAGCCUGGCACACAGCUAACAGGAUACCUGUGGAGGAAGCAGAGAGCGUGGUGGUGGACAUUUCCGAAAACAGAGCAGAAAGCUCUUGCAAAGAAGUAAGCUCUUGGGAGCUCUGCCAUCAUCAUGAAUUAACUUCCUUGACCAGAGAGGCAGAGAGAUGCCUCAGGCAGCCCUGAAGAGGAGGCUAGGCUCCAGACAGACUAUUCUAGAAGGCUGAUCCCCUCAGCCACUGCAGAAAUCAAGAAAGGUAACGAAUAAUAGUUUCCUUCUGACUUCCCACCACGUCCUGGCUUCACUCUGGCUGCUAUGGGCCUGACCAGGCAGAACAAGGCUCGGCCUCUCCUCUUAGGUGUGGUGUGCCACGGUUCCACAACCUGCACAGAUUUCUGCAGACAUCCUCAUUGUGUGCUUUUCAUGACCCUACAAGCAAGUUCCUGCCAGUCUUCCUGCCUGUGGGGAUGCCCAGGAAACUGAGACUUGAAGUUUCAGAAAUCUGCCCAAACUCUUACGCUACAUUAAAACA